CCUACGGGUGGCAGCAGUGAGGAAUAUUGGUCAAUGGGCGUAAGCCUGAACCAGCCAAGCCGCGUGAGGGAUGAAGGUUCUACGGAUCGUAAACCUCUUUUAUCAGGGAAUAAAGUGCGGGACGUGUCCCGUGUUGUAUGUACCUUAUGAAUAAGGAUCGGCUAACUCCGUGCCAGCAGCCGCGGUAAUACGGAGGAUCCGAGCGUUAUCCGGAUUUAUUGGGUUUAAAGGGUGCGUAGGCGGCCUUUUAAGUCAGCGGUGAAAGUUUGUGGCGAAAACAUCGAAUUGCCGUUGAAACUGGAAGACUUGAGUGGGUGUGAGGUAGGCGGAAUGCGUGGUGUAGCGGUGAAAUGCAUAGAUAGCACGCAGAACUCCGAUUGCGAAGGCAGCUUACUAAGCCAUAACUGACACUGAAGCACGAAAGCGUGGGGAUCAAACAGGAUUAGAGACCCCUGUAGUC
rnacentral:rRNA from 1 species